UAGUGCAGUGGAUUUAAGCUCCAUAAAUAAAGUUUUACACUUUUUUUAGAAUUAUC
rnacentral:tRNA from 1 species